rnacentral:ncRNA from 1 species
GUGUUGCAUGAAAGGAGAGAAGGUUAGCACCCCCCUUGACAAGGAUGGAAGAGACCCUUGGGCCUAACAACACGCAUGGCCACCUAGUCUGUGGCUUCUAAUCAUCGUUUUUG